rnacentral:rRNA from 1 species
CUCAAGUCGGAUUAGCUAGUURGUGGGGUAAAGGCCUACCAAGGCGACGAUCUGUAGCGGGUCUGAGAGGAUGAUCCGCCACACUGGGACUGAGACACGGCCCARACUCYUACGGGAGGCAGCAGUGGGGAAUAUUGGACAAUGGGGGGAACCCUGAUCCASCCAUGCCGCGUGUGUGAAGAAGGCCUUAUGGUUGUAAWGCACUUUAAGCGAGGWGGAGGCUACUGAGACUAAUACUCUUGGAUAKURGACGWUACUCGCARAAUAAGCACCGGCUAAC